rnacentral:lncRNA from 1 species
GAUGAUGAAGACGUAAAUUUGGAAUUCUCAAUGGCUGAGAACUUGUGUGGAGGUCUAGCCUGUUUCUGGGAACAAAACAUCUUCAUUCUAAAGAGGAAGAUUUGCUUUUCAUGGGAUGAUUGCAUUUAGGAGUGAUUCAUUUGCAUAGUUGAAACAUUAUAUUACAAUGAACUUUUGGUGUCAGAUCUUUUCGUUUUUUGCUCGAGGGAGGAGGAGCAGAUUGAUAUCUGUACAGGGAAAAUAGUUGCUUCUAAUCAUGUUAGUUGCUAAUUAUUUCUAAUAUAGGAAUUGGAGCUGUUGAUGUUAGUAUUGGGCAAUGAGGGCUGAUUAUGAUUUAGCCUUUGUUUAUUAUUUUUUGGGUGUUUUUUUGGUUCCUUGCCAACAUUUUCUUUUCUCUUUGGAUUUAGGCAUGCGCAUGAUUGGCUUAUUUGUUGUGCCAACUAAGUUACAAUAUACAUUCUUAGCUUUGAUAUUUUUGUCCUAAAUCUUUAUUAUCUCAUUGUACUUUUGCUUCGAGUUAACAAUAUUUUUUGUUCUUAUAAAAACAAAGAAGUUAAGUUGCAGUGAGAGAGCGUGCAAAAAACGACGAAAUAGAUGAUAUAGAAAUUGAAUUUUGACCUUUUUUAAAAGCUUCGAGAUGGGCUCUUUCAAAAAUGAAAAGGUUUAGAGUGGGCACUUAUCUAAACUCGCAAGAGGAUAAAUGAUAUAUACUUCUAGUCCUUUGCUAGCUUCGCCUCUGCGUUCCAGAUUCAUCUUAAUUUAUUUAAAUGCUCAAUUUUUAGGAUAUAUUAGAAAAAUUAUUCAUGCAAAAAUUAAGUUUAUCAGAUAUCAUUAAUUACACGAUCGAAUAAUAAUUCUCUUAAAAAACUAGAUGGCUUAUAUCUAAAAAUUGUGCAUACUGCUAGGGCGAAAAGAAUUUAGUCAAUCAGAAAAAAAUUAAUCGUGUGGCUGCCAAUAGUCAAUUAGAAAAGAAUUUAAUCAUGUGGCUGCUAAUAGUCAGUUAGACUAAACAAAUUAGAUCACUGUCGAUAGUCAAUCAACCUGAACCGAUUGGAUCACUAAGGUGGAUCCAUAAUAGGUCCACGACUAGUCAACCUUAUUGUAAGGUUCAAAUUAAGAACUUUAGAGAAGGUUGGCACUUUUAAAUUGGCCCCCGGAUUAAUUUAUUCAGUGGACGGAGUUAUCAAAACAAAGUUAACAAUUGUAUUGAGAUAUCUAAAAAAGUUAUCAACUGAUUCUUUCCAUUGUUUUAUUUUACCAGGUAUAUGGUUCAUGGUAUGAUAUGAUUUAUUUCAAUUGUUUAAUCUUAUUUUUUUAUAAAUAUUAUAGAACUAAUCACACACGCAUAAAACUGUUGAUAAAAAUCUUGUUACAAAUAACAUUUCUCAUUUUCUUUUCCAUAAUCUUUUUGUUCUUAAUUUAACUUUUUUGGGGUUUAUUUCACUUAAACACCAUAGAUUCUAUCUGAAAACACACUGCACUCCCUACUCUAUGAUAUUUUGUAACAAUUUAGUGCAAUUCUUGGUUCCCUACUAGGAACCCAACAAAAGUUGUGGGUGUCAGCUAUAAUAUCUUACUAAAUGCCUAUUUUACCCUUAGCUACUUUACCCUUUCUUCUCUCAAAAGAAUCAUCAAGGCUUUCAACACUCCAUUUGAAUCCCACUUCUAUGACAUUACAAUUCAUCAAAGAUUUCACCACCCACUUGAAUUUCACUUCUAUGGCAUUGCAAACUACAAACACCACAAUCUCUAUUAUUCCCCUUGAAUCCAUCUUCUUUACCAUUGAAGCACGCCACCACCACAACAUCUACCGCCUUGCAUGAAUCGCAUCUCCACCACUAUUGAAAGCCACCAUUCUUCAAUAUCGAUUCGCCUUUCUUCUCUAGCUCACGUGUCUUUCCAAUUCUUCAAAACUAAUACCUUAAUCCUUCAAGAGUUUUAGGGAAGUGAAGAGGGAUGUAGUGGGAUAUAAAAGGAAGAGAUGGGUCAUGAUGAGAGGUGGUGGUAGAAGGUAGAGCCGCAGAGGCCAUGAGAGGUACUAAUGGAAGUUUAAGAUCUUUUAGUAACUCUUACAUUAAGUAAACAGUGUUUGCUAAUAGGAGAUGCAAUGUGAUUUUAACUUCUGAUGAAUUCAGGGGGUGUCAGAGACCUUUAUCCUUUUUUUGGAUAAUGUUAUCACAAAUAUUAUUUUUACCAUUUCUUAUUUACGGUAUGAUGUUGAUAUAACUAAUCCAAUAAAUAAUCAAUUAUAUCUAAAAAUUUUGUAUUAUGUCUUAUCAGAUAUAAUAAAUCAAAAUGAUAAAAAUUAUAUUUUUUGUUUUCCCUGAACAUGCAUGCAUUGAUGACUUUUGUGGGCAAUUAAAGAUUUGUCUUCUAGUUUAGAUCGAGGAAGGUCCUAAGGCGAAGCCAAUGUGUAGGUGUUGGCCAUCUUUUUGCGUCAACCUUAACGUCUUCUGCAUGAGUCAAUGUUUUGAAUCGCAGGGUACUGUGGUGAUUGGUGAGCCACAAAAUGUUAUUGGAGACAACCCAACAAGUGUUGACUUCAUCACUUAAAAUAAAUAACUAAAAGGUCUAAUUAGGAGAGAGGAGCAUGGCAGGCUCGUACAUAAUGCUAGGAUGUUUCCUUAUAAUAUUGGGAAGACUUUUAAGGGGAGAGAGAGAGAGAGUUGGCUCACAACAUUUUGUCAAAUUUUUGAUUGGAGAUAGGGAGAUAGCAUUCCUCAAUCCUCUCUAUAAUGGACCAUUGUGGAUUAGAAUUAUAGCAGGUGGAUUCGGGGCGGCUGUUGUGCCCAUAACACCAUGCUACAAGUUCAACUUGGGCCACAUCAUGGCCCAGUAAUGUGAUUAAUAUUUGCCAAAAGAGAGACUGAUAAAUAUUAAAAUAUUUGCAUUUUGGCCCUUUGAAAUACAUUUGUUAGUUCAUUAUCUUUGUUACUUGAUACUUUCUAUGUCGUUUUCAUGUUUGUAAGUCUUAGAAUGAGGUUUGCAGCUUUUGUAAGGUAAUUUGGAAAGCUUAAAAGGUCGAGAUGAGACCGAAGUGUAAUUUCUAUAGAGUUCAGGGUUAAAUUACGAAAAGCUAACAAAGUUUAGGGGUUAAACUGUGAAUUUUAAAACUCCAACAUCCGUAUUAGAAAGAAAAAGCCCUAGUUUAGAAGAGAAAUUCAUUAUUCAUCGUAUGGAGUUCGCAGAUCGGAAGAGGCAUUUGCGGCUAAGAAGAUAUUUAGGGUGUAGAUAAAACCUGAUAAGUAACUUUGUUUAUGUAUUUAGUUUAGGUCAAGUAACUUUUUUUAUGUAUUUAGUUAGGUUUUCUGAUAUUGAUUCGAAACUUCUUAAGGCUAUCAAUUCCUGAGUUAGCCGGUCCAUAUGUAGUUUUGCACCAACUUAAUUUAAUUGAACCUUCUUCUAACGGACAAUGGGAUUGGUCUCUAAAUUAGUUGAUACUUAGAGCGUCGGAUACCGAGUUAUCAAAACAAAAUUAUAAUUUCACAGAUACAAAGAAAUGAAAAUAGAAAUUGUGUUUAGGUCAAGUAACUUUUUUUAUGUAUUUAGUUAGGUUUUCUGAAUUGAUUCGAAACUUCUUAAGGCUAUCAAUUCCUGAGUUAGCCGGUCCAUAUGGAGUUUUGCACCAACUUAAUUUAAUUGAACCUUCUUCUAACGGACAAUGGGAUUGGUCUCUAAAUUAGUUGAUACUUAGAGCGUCGGAUACCGAGUUAUCAAAACAAAAUUAUAAUUUCACAGAUACAAAGAAAUGAAAAUAGAAAUUGUGUUUAGGUCAAGUAACUUUUUUUAUGUAUUUAGUUAGGUUUUCUGAUAUUGAUUCGAAACUUCUUAAGGCUAUCAAUUCCUGAGUUAGCCGGUCCAUAUGGAGUUUUGCACCAACUUAAUUUAAUUGAACCUUCUUCUAACGGACAAUGGGAUUGGUCUCUAAAUUAGUUGAUACUUAGAGCGUCGGAUACCGAGUUAUCAAAACAAAAUUAUAAUUUCACAUAUACAAAGAAAUGAAAAUAGAAAUUGACUUGGACAGCUUUAGUCACUGAAUUUUAUUCAUAAACUAUCAUAGAUUGUACAAGAUGUCAUCUUUUUAUGAAAGAGGCAAAGUGUUAGUGACGACAAAUUAAGUUGCAAAGCAAUUUGCCUCUCAUGCUCAUAUCAACCACCCUUUUAAUUAGUCUUACACAAAAGUUCUGAAUAUUGAUCAACAAACAUCAUAGGGGGGGAUCAUAUUUAUAACCGUGUCCCCAAGGGGUAUCAUGUCUUUUGAAUUCUCUAAGCUGCCGAUCUGUCUUGCCUGUUUUCACAACAAACAAAUAUGAUAAAGGUUUGUUUAACUGUCCAGAUAUAAAUAAAGGGAAUACAAAGAUGUAAAGAUGUUGAGAAUAUAAUAAAUAUUAAAGUUGCUCUUAGUUUACGUUUUUAGAUGAGUUGGUGAUUAACUCUUUCACAUGAUAUUAGAGCAGGCAAUAGAUCAAACCUCACCAUUUACAUAAUUAAAUGUUUGCAAAUGUUUGGCCCGCUUAUGAGGAGAGCUCGACUACACGUGAGUGAGCAUGUUAAAAAUAUAAUAAAUAAUAAAGUUGUUCAUCUCUCUAACAGCUUAAGUUUUUAGAUGAGUUGAUGACUAAUUCUUUCACAAAAGGGAUACGUAAUACAAUAAGAUACACUAUAUAUAAGAAGUAAGAUUAUAUACACUAUGUUCGUUUGGGUUACGAACUUCGGAUAUAGUUUGGGAUAAGGAAAAAAUGAUUGAUCUUAACCAUUGAAUGAAUAUUGAGAGAGAGCCAUGUUGGCUGGUUGGGAGUCUAAAUUGUGUGAUAUAUUAUAUAUCACACUUUUGGAAUAUAGUGAGCAUGACAAAACUUAUAGUAGAUUUUUGUUAAUUUUUAUCUAGAAAAAGGUUGUAGGCAAAUGUUUGGCAAAAUUUUUUAAAAUUACUUAACAACGAUUUUGUUUUUGCUUUUGAAGGAGGAAUUAAGCAGAUUUUUAGAAUCACCCCAAUUGUUACUUGUCCAAAAAAACUUUAACAAAAUCUAACAAGUGUACGUUGUUUAGGCUUUACAAACAUGCACAGUAUUCCUCGUAUGUUAUAAACUUAUAACCAGUUCUAAUUGCCAACGAAACACAAAAUAUAAAAAGUAGAAGAGAACAUUUGGUAUGAUUUGCAAAAUAAAAAUAUGAAAAAUAUAUAUUUUGUGCGAUAUAUUGACAGUGAGCCAACAAACACACGGGUCCUAUCACAUUUGAAUUUGUACUGUCCACCACUGAACACCGUCUCCAGCAAAACUCUUUCCGAAAGGUGCUAUAUCAAGAUUCAUAUGUUCAUAUAUAUAAUAUGGACAUCGCUUCUCUAAAGUCGUAUGGGUGCAACGCAAGCAUUUUGGCAUAAAUUUUUGGGUUUUAUUUUGAGCUCAUUUUAGUGAUACAAACCGUUUACAUUGUAGAUGGGUGUACUUCAAGUAUUUUGAGUUAUAUUUUGAGCUCUAUUUUGAGCUCAUUUUAAUGACACAAAUCCUUUAUAUUGUAGUAUCCGUCUUAAAUAUCAGUAUUGUAAACUAUCACAUUGAUAGGGCACAAUUCAGCAUCCGUUCAGUACUAUUUUAUAACUUAAUAAAUUAGUAUAACACACAAGAUUAGACGUCUUUAUCUUGAUAUAAAUUGAUAUUAACUAUUGAUCUGUAUCCAAUUAAAGUGAUUUUUUAUAGGAUUAAAAUUUUGUAAGAGGUCUACUUAUAAACGAUUUGAAUCAUCAAAAUAAAUUUAAAUAAAACUCAAAUUAUUUAGACUGCACCGAUACAAUUCAAAAAUAGUAUGCAAGUAAGUCUAGUUUGUAUAAUAUCAUAUUGGAUAUUUACGAUGGGCUUCUUGUUUGGCAUUAAUAGUUAAGAAAAUAGUUUAGGGACAAAAUAUCUUUCCACAAUGUUUGUAAUACAAAACAUUAAAACAAAAGUGAGUUUUUUUUGAUUUAUAGCUCAGUAUGCUCAGCUUAACUGACUUCCAGAGACACUAAUAUGAGUGAUCGACCUAAAGCAGUUCCCAAAAGCAAGAAUCCAGAUUGAAACUUACGUGUAACGUCAAGCAGUUCCCUUGCAGCCACUUCGAAAGCCAAGAGAAGGAUAAGAGUCAAGAGAAAGAUUCCAAAAACAAGCAACUUCUUUGAACCCAUUUUUCUCGAGGAGCACAAUAACAAAAUUUGGGGAUUCCUAUUUAUAAAUAGGGAAUUCCCAAAUUUGGUUAAUGUGCACUUUGCUAUGAUCGGGACCAUUCUAGAGCAAUUCCGCAUUGACUUAUUGUUUACGAAAUUGACAAGUUGGUUGAUGUGCACUCUACUCUGAUGGGGACCAUUCGAUAGCAAUUCCGCAUUGACUCGUUGUUUAUGGAUCCUUAACUCCAUUUGAAUUUGUCAAUUUGAAAUUUAGGAAUUUGAAAUGCUCACUUGAAGAGUAUAUUUGAAUGGCAAAUAGAGAAAAAUAAUUUAAAAUUAAGAAAAAAAAUUAAAAAUUUACAAAAUUUCAGUGUUAAUGAAGUGGGGCAUUCGAAAAGUCUCUCGAGAUAACCGAACAGUCACCUCAUGUUGUUAGCAACCCAAAGACAAUGUUAUUGGUGCUCAAAUAACCCUCAUGUAUUGGAGAUUAUGGAUGACAGUUUUGUGUAUUGAUUUCAGCAACCCAUCGAUCACUUUGUUUUUCUAUAUAUUUUAGUUUUUCUAUAUAUUUUUGGUUCUUGUAUUGCAAAACACUCUAAAAGAAACAGAGUUUACAAGAAAUAAAAUCUGCAUUUUUGUUUUUUAGAGAGAGACAGACAUAUGUUCAGUUCGCCAAAGCUUACAUCGGCGGUGUUUCGACGUACACUAUUUAACCAUUUUAUUUUGAGAGAAAGAUGCCGACAAAGCCAACAACACCCUCGGUAGGCGGAAAAUCUUUUUUACGAAGACUGUGUUUGCAGGAUUCGUCUUGUAAUUUUGUUUGUAUCUCAUUCUUGCAAACAAAAUUACGAGUCGAAUCCUGCAAACACAGUUUCUUUAAGAAAGAUACACCGCUUGCCGAGAGUGUUGUAGAUUUUGUCACUUUGUCAGUGUUUGAAUGACUCGACUCGUAUUUCUGUUUGUAUUUGUAUCUCAUUCUGCAUGUCUUGUAAUUGUCAAUUCAAUUUUAGUGUAUAUUUUUGUGAUCAAUAAAAAUUAUUCUUUGAAAUUCUGUAUUUGCCAUAUUUUUUUCCAACAAGCUUAAGAAAUAUUUUUUUAUUUCGUGAUCGAAAUUGAAUUUCAAAAAAUAAUUUCAAUUCCGGUAAUAAUGUUUGAGAUGAAAGGAUGGCAUCUGGACGGUUUUGAUACCGUGGGGUAAAACCACGAAUCUAUGGCAUUUAUAAACAAAUUUAUUUUUAGAAUCAAUUUUUGUUUGAGAAAGGAAAACAGUUUAGUUUUUUUCAGAAAUUAAUAACCUGUCUGCAUAAACUGGUUUUGAUUAUCGGUUUUGUGCUGAUACUAUUUUUUUCUUUUAAACCUAU